rnacentral:rRNA from 1 species
AACGUAGGAGACAAACGUUAUCCGGAGUUACUGGGCGUAAAGGGCGUGUAGGUGGUUACGUAAGUCUGGCGUGAAAUUUCUCGGCUUAACCGAGGCAGGUCGUCGGAUACUGCGGGACUAGAGGACGGUAGAGGCGUGUGGAAUUCCGGGUGUAGUGGUGAAAUGCGUAGAGAUCCGGAGGAACACCAGUGGCGAAGGCGACACGCUGGGCCGUACCUGACACUGAUGCGCGACAGCAUGGGGAGCAAACAGG